rnacentral:rRNA from 1 species
CGAGCGCAACCCUUGUCCUUAGUUACCAGCACGUUAUGGUGGGCAACUCUAAGGAGACUGCCGGUGACAAACCGGAGGAAGGUGGGGAUGACGUCAAGUCAUCAUGGCCCUUACGGCCUGGGCUACACACGUGCUACAAUGGUCGGUACAAAGGGUUGCCAAGCCGCGAGGUGGAGCUAAUCCCAUAAAACCGAUCGUAGUCCGGAUCGCAGUCUGCAACUCGACUGCGUGAAGUCGGAAUCGCUAGUAAUCGUGAAUCAGAAUGUCACGGUGAAUACGUUCCCGGGCCUU